CUGCAUGUGUGUGUUCUGCUGCAAAAUCAAAGGAAAGUCAGUAUUGUCACACAACAGCUGCAGUAACACCACAGACUCCACUGAAAAGGAAGAAAAUAUUCAUUAUGCCAGCAUCCAGUACAAAAGAAGGUCCAGAGCAGCUGCUAAGAAAAACACAGCAUCAGAUUCGGACAGUGUGACCUACGCAACAGUCGCCUCACAGCCUCGGUGACACUGACCAGCACAAGGUGUCACAAAUUUAAUAUUAUCAUACAUCAUAUCAAUAUCAACAUCAUAAAAUGUGCUGUUCCCUCUGGCUCUCUUCUUUAUUUGUUUUAAAUAGGCUAUUUAGUUGACAAUGCAUUAUUUAAAAUGAAC